rnacentral:rRNA from 1 species
GAUUAUAGUACGGCGCAGUCUGCUGGAAUUCGCCUUAAGUUUGAUCCUGGACAGAGUGAACGCUGGCGGCGUGCCUAACACAUGCAAGUCGAACGAGAAACGGGUUUAGUUUACUAAACUGCAGUCUAAGUGGCGCACGGGUGAGUAAUGUAUAGUUAACCUGCCCUCGAGACAGGAAUAACAGUUGGAAACGACUGCUAAUGCCCUAUAUGCCUUUAAGACAUAAGUCUGCAAGGGAAAUGCUUUAAUGCUUGAGAGAUGGGACUGUAUGGUAUCAGAUAGUUGGUGAGGUAAUGGACUACCAAGUCAAUGAAGCCUAACUGGUUUGAGAAGAUGAUCAGUACACACUGGACCUGAGACACGGUCCAAACUCCUACGGGAGGCAGCAGAUGGGGAAUAUUGCACAAUGGAGGCAACUCUGAUGCAGCAACGCCGCGUGGAGGAUGACACAUUUCGGUGCGUAAACUCCUUAAAUAUAGGACAGAUAA